GAUGAACGCUGGCGGCGUGCCUAAUACAUGCAAGUCGAGCGAACAGACGAGGAGCUUGCUCCUCUGACGUUAGCGGCGGACGUGUGAGUAACACGUGGAUAACCUACCUAUAAGACUGGGAUAACUUCGGGAAACCGGAGCUAAUACCGUAUAAUAUAUUGAACCGUAUGGUUCAAUAGUGAAAGACGGUUUUGCUGUCACUUAUAGAUGGAUCCGCGCCGCAUUAGCUAGUUGGUAAGGUAACGGCUUACCAAGGCGACGAUGCGUAGCCGACCUGAGAGGGUGAUCGGCCACACUGGAACUGAGACAGGGACAAGACUCCUACGGGAGGCAGCAGUAGGGAAUCUUCCGCAAUGGGCGAAAGCCUGACGGAGCAACGCGGCGUGAGUGAUGAAGGUCUUCGGAUCGUAAAACUCUGUUAUUAGGGAAGAACAAAUGUGUAAGUAACUGUGCACGUCUUGACGGUACCUAAUCAGAAAGCCACGGCUAACUACGUG
rnacentral:rRNA from 1 species